rnacentral:lncRNA from 1 species
UCUAAAUUGCAGCACUUCUAGAACAUGCUCACUUCAUUCCCGAAAAUAGUGACAUAUUUUAACAAAAGAGGCGCCACCACAAUCACAAUCAUCAUAACAAAGCCAGGGAAAGAGUCAAAUUUCACAACGCAACCAACCCCACAAAAUGCAAGAGGAAAGAAAUUAAACUAGAACACACCACCUAGCAGGAAUAAAACUCAAAUUUUCACCAAUUUUGUAACUUGAAACUCAAAAACACAAAACCCAGCAUCCAUAAAGAUCAAAUUACUCAUCUCUUCAACUGUGUGCAGAAUUAUCCCAAAAAAAGGGCUAUUGAAAGAUCAAGGGCUUUACAACGACCCCUGUGAUUGCCGAUCCUUGACAUUUUAUACUCAACUAUGUGAAUCGCUGAGGCUUUUAGAUCGAAGAUAAUCCUACAAUUUACCAAGGUUUUGAUGCCCCUCCAAAAAACAAAGAAAUACCAGUAUCAUGCGACCAAUGUUAAAUGCAAUAUAAGUUAAAAGCUGUACAAUCAACCAGAGGAAAACGAGUAAAGUUAAAUUCUGAAAGCUGCUUCAAAGGUAAAACAAACUUAGCUGCAGGAUGGGGCAUGGUGAGAGAUCACAAUGAAAAUGUAUACAGAAAUGAGAUUGUGCUACCAAUCUUGCUACACUACGGAAUGGGUAGAAGCAGACUCAAUGGUAGCUGUCCAACUAUCUCAAAAAUGGCUACCAGACCAUGACACGUCCAAUACUUUAUAUCAGAGAUACAUCAUUUGCUUAAGCAAAUGGAAGUCUCAGCUACUAACAUAUGAAGGGAACGAAAUGCAGUUGCUGAUUGGUUGGCUACUACAGGCCAUAAAGAAAUGAUAUCAAAGACAUUGGUAGCCCACAGGAAUUGCCUGGAGAAGGUGGUGGUCUAAUUCAGAAUGGACAAAUACGGAUUUCCUUAUUCUAGAUUUUGAAAUGUUUUUUUGUAAAUGACACGUACUUGUAUAAUCUUUCUUGUGUAAAUAUGCUUACAAGUAGAAUACUAAAUUUUCCCUUAAAUUCACUUGUAAUUCCUUAGUAAGGCCGUUAUGUCUCACUAACUCUGGUCUUUUCAAUACCAAUACGCUAGGGCAGUGCCACAG